rnacentral:rRNA from 1 species
ACACAUGCAAGUCGGACGGCAGCACAGAGAAGCUUGCUUCUUGGGUGGCGAGUGGCGAACGGGUGAGUAACAUAUCGGAACGUACCGAGUAAUGGGGGAUAACUAAUCGAAAGAUUAGCUAAUACCGCAUAUUCUCUGAGGAGGAAAGCAGGGGACCUUCGGGCCUUGCGUUAUUCGAGCGGCCGAUAUCUGAUUAGCUAGUUGGUGGGGUAAAGGCCUACCAAGGCGACGAUCAGUAGCGGGUCUGAGAGGAUGAUCCGCCACACUGGGACUGAGACACGGCCCAGACUCCUACGGGAGGCAGCAGUGGGGAAUUUUGGACAAUGGGCGCAAGCCUGAUCCAGCCAUGCCGCGUGUCUGAAGAAGGCCUUCGGGUUGUAAAGGACUUUUGUCGGGGAAGAAAAGGCUGUUGCUAAUACCGACAGUUGAUGACGGUACCUGAAGAAUAAGCACCGGCUAACUACGUGCCAGCAGCCGCGGU